AAACAUUCCAAGCCCCAUCCUUUUGUGCAGGCAUCUCGCUGUCUGCGCUGGGCACGGAGCGGCGCGCGCGCGCCCGUCUUUCCCUCGGCGGCCCCCGCGGCUCGGACCCGGGCCGGCAGACAGGCCAUCCAUCAUCCGCCCUCCUCCCGCGGAGCGCCGCAGCCGCCGCGGCCAAUCCGGCGGCAGGUGGGGCCGCACCUGCGCGACAGCCCGCCGCUUCCCUCCGCUCCCUUCGCCGCGCCUCGCGUGCUAGCGGUGCCCUUGUGAGCCACUGCGUUCUCCAAGGCCAGAACGGGACAGUUGACGAUGGUCGUACUUCUCCAUGUUCUGAGACCAGUUUAAACAAAAACAAAAACCAGACAACAACCUUGCAAGGGAAAGAAUUCAGAGUAAAUAAACAGUCUUUUUCUGGGAAGUAAAAUAUUUCCCUAAGAUGGAGAAAUUGAGAUGAGAGCUCAUCCACAAGAUUACCCAUCAAUGAGCACCAAUAGCAACCAAAUCCACUAGAAGACUGGGAGCUUUUAAGUCAAGAAACUUACAUCAGUAUCAUCAUUCCAAGAAGCGGUAUCCAAGCUGUUUUAUCGAAAGUGCGCAUGGGAGGUAAGAGUUGGGAA
rnacentral:lncRNA from 1 species